UUGAACGCUUUAGAUCUAAUAAAUUAAACGGGUCUGGUUUUGAUAGAUUCAAAUUUGUAGGGAAAGGUUCGGAAAUCGGUGAGGCACGCAUUGCUUGUUUAUUAUGAACUUGGCUAACUGAAGCUAAUUUCUCCCAAGCGGCUGGCAGUAAGGCAGAUAGAACUUGGAACAUUAAUAAUUCCGCAAUUAAGUUAGCCUGUGGAUUUUUACAUACAGAGUGGACCGAAUCACUACUUAAUAGGAUUACACAUUUUCGGAUGUCAACGAGUACCUUUGUAUUACAACCUAUUACCUCUUGAAAUUGAACACACUGGGUCUCAUAAUAACUCACAUAAGGUAGUUGAAGUAAUAAACACUGAAACAAAAACACCAAGGAACCAUAAAAUAACUGUCGAUAGCGAAGUUGUCACGUACAAACCUUAUUCUAUUUAUACCAAUUACAAGGGAAUGUGUGUAUGGGUUUUUAAUGGAAUCCCUCAGCAUUAUUCAUUAGGAUGUAGGUAUUUGUUUUUGUAAAUCACUAAACUUAGUAACAAGCUAAUUCAUUCCGACUAUAGUUACUUUAUUAAUUAAGUUUUGGUACUUUACGAGUGGAAUCACAUCUAUAUAGUACACGCACGACGACACCGUAGACACACCUUUGUGCUCAUGUUAUGUACCUAAAUGCCAACAAAAAUGCAAAAUUCGUAAUUUUUCGUCUACACUGGCCACUCCAUUCCCUAUUUCGGGGGUCCGGAGCAAUAAUAUGCGAAUUGCGACUACCAAUCCGGAUGUUACACACCUGAAGGACUUAACUGCGGAUGUGAACUAUGGAACCAAGAGGUAGAAGUUGGUUUGGCGGCGUAAUUUCAGGGCAUUGGCAAUUUCCCCUACAACCACAGCUCCGAGUGAUUGGCUCUCAAUUUUUGUCAAGUGUCGGUCGGUUUUGCAGCCUCUCUUGCAGCCCCAAGACACGAAGAGGACGCACGCAUGAGGAUUCAAGUGACAUCAAAACUGGCUUGAUUGCAUUAUCCUGGAUUCGCCAUCCACACUCCGUUACAGAAGCAAGGCGCCGUGGACCUUCACAGAUGAAUGUAAAGUUACAUGUGAUUAGGUAGUAACAUGACUACAUUUACAUAUUAUCGCUCUUGAGCUGGUAAAUUUUUCAUAACUUCAAUCUGAAAUUUUUGCCUUGUUUUUCUAUCAAGUGUUUUCAUUUCUAUGCCCUACAUGCCACAGAAAUGGUCAGAAGAAUCGAGCGUACUUGCUUUAUCUAAAUGUUCCAUCACUAACCUAUCGAUAUUGUCUAAAUUCUGGUAGGCACUUUAUCGUCUUCUUAUAAUUAAAAAUACUAUGUUCUA